AGAGUUUGAUCCUGGCUCAGAACGAACGCUGGCGGCGUGCUUAACACAUGCAAGUCGAGUGCGCGUGCCGUAGCAAUACGGUAUGGCGCACGGCGCACGGGUGCGUAACACGUGGGUAACCUGCCCUUUGGUGGGGAAUAACUCCGCGAAAGCGGAGCUAAUUCCGCAUAAGAUCCGCAAGGAUGAAAGCCGCAAGGCGCCGAAGGAGGGGCCCGCGCCCGAUUAGCUUGUUGGUAGGGUAACGGCCUACCAAGGCUAUGAUCGGUAGCUGGUCUGAGAGGAUGGCCAGCCACACUGGAACUGAGACACGGUCCAGACUCCUACGGGAGGCAGCAGUGGGGAAUCUUGCGCAAUGGGCGAAAGCCUGACGCAGCGACGCCGCGUGGGGGAUGAAGCUUUUCGGAGUGUAAACCCCUUUCGAUCCGGACGAAUGCCCGCAAGGGAGUGACGGUACGGGUAUAAGAAGCCCCGGCUAACUACGUGCCAGCAGCCGCGGUAAGACGUAGGGGGCCAGCGUUGUUCGGAAUUACUGGGUGUAAAGGGUCAGUAGGCGGUGUGGCAAGUCGGGAGUGAAAUCUAUGGGCUCAACCCAUAGGCUGCUUCCGAAACUGCUGUGCUUGAGUGUGGGAGAGGCGCGUGGAAUUGCAGGUGUAGCGGUGAAAUGCGUAGAUAUCUGCAGGAACACCCGUGGCGAAAGCGGCGCGCUGGACCACAACUGACGCUGAAUGACGAAAGCUAGGGGAGCAAACAGGAUUAGAUACCCCCGUAGUCC
rnacentral:rRNA from 1 species